rnacentral:rRNA from 1 species
ACGCUCGACACCUACGGAGGCAGCAGUGGGGAAUAUUGCACAAUGGGGGAAACCCUGAUGCAGCGACGCCGCGUGAGUGAAGAAGUAUUUCGGUAUGUAAAGCUCUAUCAGCAGGGAAGAAAAUGACGGUACCUGAGUAAGAAGCCCCGGCUAACUACGUGCCGGCAGCCGCGGUAAUCUGAGCGGGCUGGCAAGGC